GGGGAUUUAACUCAGUGGUAGAGUGCUUGCCUAGCAAGCACAAGGCCCUGGGUUCGGUCCCCAGCUCCG
rnacentral:tRNA from 1 species